rnacentral:rRNA from 1 species
GAUGAACGCUGGCGGCGUGCUUAACACAUGCAAGUCGAACGAGAAGUGAAGACGGAACCCUUCGGGCGGAAGGCUUUAUUUCGAGUGGCGGACGGGUGAGUAACGCGUGGGUAACCUGCCUCAUACAGGGGGAUAACAGUUGGAAACGACUGUUAAUACCGCAUAAGACCACAGCACCGCAUGGUGCGGGGGUAAAAACUCCGGUGGUAUGAGAUGGACCCGCGUUCGAUUAGCCAGUUGGCGGGGUAACGGCCCACCAAAGCGACGAUCGAUAGCCGAUCUGAGAGGAUGACCGGCCACAUUGGGACUGAGACACGGCCCAAACUCCUACGGGAGGCAGCAGUGGGGAAUAUUGCACAAUGGGGGAAACCCUGAUGCAGCGACGCCGCGUGAGUGAAGAAGUAUUUCGGUAUGUAAAGCUUUAUCAGCAGGGAAGAAAAUGACGGUACCUGAGGAAGAAGCCCCGGCUAACUACGUG